rnacentral:lncRNA from 1 species
ACCGACAUGGUGAAGGAGGUUCGCAACGAUGAGCGAACUGUCACCGUCCCCAAAACUAGAGUUGUCAUGGAUGAGGUUGAGCGUGUUGAUCGCGUGCCUGUCGUGAGAGAGGUUCCCAAGACGAGGAUUGAGCAAGUGCACAGAGUUGUUACGGAGGAGCGGGAAGUGACCGACAUGGUGCCUGUCGUGGAAUACGUCGACACGCCCAGCGUUGAGCAAGUUCCGCGAGUGGUCACUGAAGAGGUGACGGAGCGAGUCACCGUGCCCGUUGUGGUGGAAGUUCCCGUUACUCGCACGGUCGAGGUGCCAACUGGAAAGUAAGUAACCCAGUCCUUCCGAACAGCGCAACGAUGUUAUCAUUUUGAAAGAACUGCUGCUGUUAUGUGCUGCUGGAUUUUCCCGUCUCUGCCAGUCGAUUUUGGUUGCAAAGAACUAACCACAUGCCUCCUCGUGGUUGG